UGGGCGGGUCGUCGAAGAGCCUGAGGAAGAGGGCGGCGGCGGUUGUGGUGACUGAGCGGAGCCUGGUGACAGGAUGGCUGGGCACAGAAAGGAAUCCCCCUCUAAAAUGAAGAUUGUUCUGUAUCCAGUUGGUGUUGGUAUUAGGAGAUCUGCACAUCCCACACCGGUGCAACAGUUUGCCAGCUAAAUUCAAAAAACUCCUGGUGCCAGGAAAAAUUCAGCACAUUCUCUGCACAGGAAACCUUUGCACCAAAGAGAGUUAUGACUAUCUCAAGACUCUGGCUGGUGAUGUUCAUAUUGUGAGAGGAGACUUCGAUGAGAAUCUGAAUUAUCCAGAACAGAAAGUUGUAACUGUUGGACAGUUCAAAAUUGGUCUGAUCCAUGGACAUCAAGUUAUUCCUUGGGGAGAUAUGGCCAGCUUAGCCCUGUUGCAGAGGCAGUUUGACGUGGACAUUCUUAUCUCAGGACACACACACAAAUUUGAAGCAUUUGAGCAUGAAAAUAAAUUCUACAUUAACCCAGGUUCUGCCACUGGGGCAUAUAAUGCCCUGGAAACAAACAUUAUUCCAUCAUUUGUGUUGAUGGAUAUCCAGGCUUCUACAGUGGUCACCUAUGUGUAUCAGCUAAUUGGAGAUGAUGUGAAAGUAGAACGAAUCGAAUACAAAAAAUCUUAAAGCCAGGCCUGUCUUGAUGAUUUUUUUUUCAUUGUCCUGUUGAAAUCAAGUAAAUAAAUAUUUACGAGCCACAAAAUUGUAUCACCUUUAUAAUAUUUUGCAGUAAAAUAUAAUACCAUCUUCUCUGUUAAUACAUAAUUGCUCUAAGCUUCCUGUAAACUAUAAGAAUAUGUUUAGUUUACAGCAUAUGGAUUCUAUGAAAAAAUGUCCAUGACACAGUAACUGGUCACUUGUUAAGAAAAAUUUAUCCUUGUAAAUAUCUUCAAAGUUGGUAUUUGGAACUUUAUUCCAAAAGUAGUGCAUGUGGAGAAAGAAUCUAGACUUUCUUGUAUACAUUUUUCUCUUCUCCAGUAAUAAACAAUUACCUUUCAUUUAUACUUUCUUGAUAACCUGCUGUUUAAUUUUAAAAAACAUAAAAAUGAGAAACCAAGUGAAACUUCAGAUAUAAAUAUUGAAGUGAAAUAGAUGAUUUUCAGAGCUCUUUUCUCUUAACACUAUGUUAGAAUGUUGAAUUCAGAUUUUAUUUGCUAAAUAAUAUACCAUAUCGACAUUAAAUUAGCAGUGAUUCUUCAAA